AUCUCCCGUUUGCCACUCCCCAGCACCUGUAGCCAAUCUCCUACUGCCCAUAUAAACCCCUGUCACUCUGCUCUCUCUGUCUGGCCUCUUCAACGGAGACACUUACUCCAGCGCACGGACUGCUCCUUGUUUCCAAGCCCAGCUCCUCGUUUCUGGAAUUUCCUGCUUCUUCCCAGCACUUCUGCCCUGCCUUAGGCUGCCUGUUAAUGAUUAGCAUCAUUAAACCAGGUCUGGAGGAGAUGAACCAAAGUGGUCAGAGGAGGGGGUCAGAGAGAGUGUGCACACCAUCCCUGGACCAUGGCCAGUGCUUUCAGGAAACAGAAUGAGCUCUGAUGACAUAGGACACAUUCACAGCAGAUACCCUGCUCUCUGCCUCGCUAC